AAUUAAUUUUAGAGACAGACCAUAAGUCACUGAUUUGGUUAAACAGUGCAAAGAUGACCAACAGCCGGAUCAUGAGGUGGGCACUCAGUCUACAACCGUACAGGUUUGUAUGUCAUAGCAUCCGGGGUGUAGACAAUGUUGGAGCAGAUUUGUUGAGCAGGUGUGGCGACACUGGUAUGUAAAUAUCGGAUAUUGAGGACCUGGCAAAUAUAUGUGUAACGGGGUAAAAAUAUAUAACACUGUAUGUAUAUAUGUUUUAUUUUAUUUGCUACUUAUUUUAUAAUAUUUUAUUAAUGGGUUAUUUCGUUUGUUUUUAGGAUAUUCGUCGUAGAGAAUACCCUAUUAGACAACGCCCUAACCUUUCUUUCCGGUCAAAUUGGAGUUUAGCCAAUGAUAUUUUAUUCUGGUGUCAUGUGACAUUGGUCACGGCUAGUCCGUGCCACAUUCACAUUGAACAGCAAGCCAUCAACACACGACAUAAUUCUCAACUAUUUCUUGAUUAUUUUUUCAUCUUUUCUGCGACGGUUACACAGGAUGAGGAAUUGUCAUUAAUACUCGGCAACCAGUUCGGUCCAUAGCCCACAGCCAAGGACCUUUAUUUGACGGUUGCCAAAUAAACCGAAUCCUACCCAGCAUUGUUGUCUUUCUGAUUUGAGGGAUUUAACCCAAAUGCUACAAUGGAGCCGACGUAGGGACUCGAGAUGACGUCAUUUCCUGUGUUGGGACAAUCCGUGAACGGACAGACGGACAGUGCGGAGUGUUGUGUUGGACAUUGAACAGUACAAAAACUUGCUUAGAUGAGGAAUUGUCAUUAAUACUCGGCAACCAGUUCGGUCCAUAGCCCACAGCCAAGUUUUUAUGCUACGUGAGAUGUGCCCAGGUGUGGUGGAAGUUAUAACAAGAGGUGCGUCACGGGGUCAGGGCUGUCUUUUGUGAUGUUGAGGGGUCUCUUAGUUCGUAAGAGAUAAUGCAAUGGAAAACUGGAUGGAGAGCUGAGAGAGGUGGUGAAUUCGGUGUUUGGUGUAUCUAAGUAGAUACUAGGUGCUCCGUGGACUGAGAACUGGUUACUUGUGUAAUAUCAUGACUUUGCAACUUGUGUGAUUCACUGAUAGUUUGUUGGUGGACUAUUAUGCAAUAUUAUGUAAUAUUAUGUGACGACAUAAUAUUGUAAACUAUUGUUGUGAAUUUGGUGUGAAUGGGAUGCGGGAAUGAAUGAUUGUGUUAAAUAUGAAAUCGAUGGGUGGUAUGAAAGGGUAUGGUGUGUUAUAUUUGUGAAUAUUUAUGAGAUUAUUGUAAAUUAAAAUUAUUGUUUAUA